rnacentral:rRNA from 1 species
CUACUGUGCCAGCUGGUGGAUCGCUCGGCUCAAGAGCUGAAGAAGGACGUGCCAAGCUGCGAUAAGCCUACGGGACCCGCACGGAGGGGAAGAACGUAGGAUUUCCGAAUGGGAAUCCCCACCGCAAUUGCUUCGCGCAAUGGGGAACGUCGAGAAUUGAAACAUCUUAGUAUCGACAGGAAAAGAAAGCAACUCGCGAUGUCGUUAGUAACGGCGAGUGAACCCGACACAGUCCAAACCGAAGCCUUCACGGGCAAUGUGGUGUUCGGGCUGACUUGCAGCACCAGACCAUCUAUGAGAAAUCUCCUGGAAUGGAGUACGAGACAGGGUGACAGUCCCGUACUGUAGGUUAGUAUGGUGUGUGUCAGUACCAGAGUAGCGGGGAUUGGAUAUUCCUCGUGAAUGUUGCGGGCAUUGACCGCAAAGACUCAAUACUCCUUGAGACCGAUAGCGAACAAGUAGCGUGAGCGAACGCUGAAAAGCACCCCAAGAAGGGAGGUGCAAUAGGGCGUGAAAUCAGUUGGCGAUAGAACGACAGGGCACGAAAGGUCCGACACGAAAUGAAUCAGGUGCGAACCUGUAGUAAGCCGUGUGGGAAGCCGGUGUUCUGUCGUACGUUUUGAAAAACGAACCAGAGAGUGUGUCUGUUCGACGAGUCUAACCCGAUCAUCGGGGAAGGCGGAGGGAAACCGAUAUGACCGCAGUGCUUUGCACCAGGGUCACCGUGUUCAAGCGCGGGGAGUCGACCGGACACGACCCGAAACCGGACGAUCUACGCAUGAGCAGGGCGAAGCGUGCCGAAAGGCACGUGGAGGCCCGUUAGAGUUGGUGUCCUACAAUACCCUCUCGUGACUUAUGUGUAGGGGUGAAAGGCCCAUCGAGUCCGGAAACAGCUGGUUCCAACCGAAACAUGUCGAAGCAUGACCUUCACCGAGGUAGUUUGUGGGGUAGAGCGACGGAUUGGGAGACCGGCCUCCGAGAGGAGUUCGCCUCCCUGUCCAACUCCGAACCUACGAACGCUGUUGACGUGAGGAGACCGGUGCGCGGGGUAAGCCUGUGUACCGUAAGGGAGACAACCCAGAGCUGGGUUAAGGUCCCCAAGUGUGGACUAAGUGCGAUCGAAAGUGGUGCCGAGCCCUAGACAGCCGGGAGGUGAGCUUAGAAGCAGCUACCCUCUAAGAAAAGCGUAACAGCUUACCGGCCGAGGUUCGGCGCGCUGAAAAUGAUCGGGGCUCAAGUCCACCACCGAGACCGAGCGACACCCGUCAGAGGGUGAUUCCGUAGGUUGGCAUACUGUUCGGGUGGAAGCACGGGAGAGAUCUCGUGUGGACCGUGCAGUAACGAAAAUUCUGGUCAUAGUAGCAGCGUUAGUCGGGUGAGAACCCCGACGGCCGAACG